AUUGAACGCUGGCGGCAUGCCUUACACAUGCAAGUCGAACGGUAACAGGUCUUCGGAUGCUGACGAGUGGCGAACGGGUGAGUAAUACAUCGGAACGUGCCCGAUCGUGGGGGAUAACGAAGCGAAAGCUUUGCUAAUACCGCAUAAGAUCUACGGAUGAAAGCAGGGGACCGCAAGGCCUUGCGCGAACGGAGCGGCCGGUGGCAGAUUAGGUAGUUGGUGGGAUAAAAGCUUACCAAGCCGACGAUCUGUAGCUGGUCUGAGAGGACGACCAGCCACACUGGGACUGAGACACGGCCCAGACUCCUACGGGAGGCAGCAGUGGGGAAUUUUGGACAAUGGGCGAAAGCCUGAUCCAGCCAUGCCGCGUGCAGGAUGAAGGCCUUCGGGUUGUAAACUGCUUUUGUACGGAACGAAAAGACUCUGGUUAAUACCUGGGGUCCAUGACGGUACCGUAAGAAUAAGCACCGGCUAACUACGUGCCAGCCGCCGCAGUAAGAC
rnacentral:rRNA from 1 species